rnacentral:rRNA from 1 species
CUGCUGCCUUCCGUAGGAGUUUGGACCGUGUCUCAGUUCCAAUGUGGGGGACCUUCCUCUCAGAACCCCUACGCAUCGUCGGCUUGGUGGGCCGUUGCCCCACCAACUACCUAAUGCGCCGCGUGCCCAUCCGUGACCGGAGUCGCCCCCUUUGGCCGGAAAGGGAUGUCCCUUCCCGGCGUCAUGCUGUAUUAGGCGGGAUUUCUCCCGGUUAUCCAUCUGUCACGGCCAGGUUGCAUACGUGUUACUCACCCGUGCGCCGGCCGCCGGCGG